UACGGAGGGUGCAAGCGUUAUCCGGAAUCACUGGGUUUAAAGGGUGCGUAGGCGGCUUUGUAAGUCAGGGGUGAAAGCCUGCAGCUUAACUGCAGAACUGCCUUUGAUACUGCAGAGCUUGAAGGAGGUUGAGGUCAGCGGAACGUGACAUGUAGCGGUGAAAUGCAUAGAUAUGUCAUAGAACACCAAUUGCGAAGGCAGCUGGCUGGGCUUGCUUUGACGCUGAGGCACGAAAGCGUGGGGAGCGAACAGG
rnacentral:rRNA from 1 species